UACGGGGGGCAAGCGUUGUUCGGAAUUACUGGGCGUAAAGGGUUUGUAGGUGGCCAACUAAGUCAUACGUGAAAUCCCUCAGCUUAACUGGGGAACUGCGUCUGAUACUGGUUGGCUUGAGUGCAGGAGAGGAACGCGGAAUUCCAGGUGUAGCGGUGAAAUGCGUAGAUAUCUGGAGGAACACCGGUGGCGAAGGCGGCAUCCUGGACCGAGAUUGACGCUGAGGCGCGAAAGCCAGGGGAGCAAAGCGGGG
rnacentral:rRNA from 1 species